rnacentral:piRNA from 1 species
UCAAACUUUCCAAAAAGAUGGGCUCUUGA